UUUAUUAUAAAAUAUUAGAGUCAAUCGUUUUUAGUUAAUAGGGCUAAAGGGUAUUAUAGUUAAAAGGAGUUCUUGUGUCCCUCAUUGAAAACUUUGAGGUCUCUCCUUUGUAAAGUUAUUUUGAUCAGAGCGUCAUCUAAUAUCACUUAAAAUGUUGUCAAAAUCCCAUUAAGUCAUUUGGAUUAAAAUGAGAUCUAACCACGCUUCGAUUAGAGUGUAAUUUUGUCGCAUUAACUUGGUUCGAUACUAAAGCUGUAUUUAGUAUUCAGUUAUCCUAUCAAUCCACUUUCGCUCCCCGUUGUGUCAAUUUAUUUGCAUAGAUUUCAAAAUGGUAAAAUAAAUAGUUUUUCUUGUCCGUGGAGUGCGAAACAUCUGUGAAGGCACCAAGCUAGGUGAAAACUAGGCUUAAAUUUUUUUUAAUCAUUUCAUUUUUUUUUCAAUACAAAAUUUCCUAUCAUAUAAUUACGCAAACUCAUCUUUAAAACUCAAUGUUUACUAUAUACUUACUAUAUACUUGUUCUCUAUUUUUUAAGAUUAGCCGCUAAUUUAUAUAUAUUCUGAAAUAAAUAAAUUUUUGAUUACCCUCCUCGUGAAUUAACUAUCUUCAAAUCAACCCCCUUAUUUCUAAAAACCUCAAGUUACUUCCAUUUUUAUUCAAAAGAUAAGAGAAAAAAUGGAAGUUAAGAGAAAAAAUGGAAGUUGCUUGAUAAUUUUUUUUCCUUUUUUUAAAUUGUGAUUAUUGAGAGUAAGGAGGUGAUUUGAAGAUAAUCAAUUUACAAAAGGAUAAUCUUAACUUAAUUCUUCUGAAAUUUUUAAGUGGAGAAAAAAUAAAUUUGAAAUUUGAUUUUAUAUUUAAAAAAAUAGCAUAAAAAACUGAUUUAUUUAUUUAUUUUUGUAGGUUUUCACAUUACAUUAUCAACGAUUGAAAUAUUUUUGCCUUAGCACAAAAAAAGGCACCAAUCACUAAUGAUUUUCUGAAAGGCAGGGAAAUAACCGACACAAACAGAGAUGGAUUGAAGAGGUAAAAUAUUUGUGUGCGGUUGUAUGUGCAGUAAACACACAAAUUAUUCAAUUAUCAAGUUAAUUUCCUCUUCAUUUGCAUAAUUAAGUUUAAUAAGUGGUAGUAUUAAGUGUUAUAUGGUAAAACAUGAGUAAUUUCUUUUUUAUACAUUUUCUUUUUCAUUUUAACCAAGAUCACACCUAAAAAGAACUGUCUAAUAUUGUCAGAGUUGGACAGGCUCUCAUAUUUGUGGGCGGCUGUUUGAUAGAUCUUGAUGUUGAUUUGUUUUUUUUUUUUUUUUGAGACUGAUUAAUCAUCAGAUUACUGCAUUACACAGAUAUUUACAACAACUGCUUAUUGUAGCAGAGAUAUUACACUGAUAUUUACAAUCAGAUAUACAUGAUUGGGACUUACAUUAUUACAAUGAAUUCUAUGAAGUACAUGCCCAAUACAAAUAACCUCUCACAGGAGAGGAUGUCCAUACUCCACUUGCAUUUCGCAAGGGAGAAGGAUAUAAAGAACAUUUAGCCCCCACAAUGCUUUUGUGGGGGCUAGAACCGCUGCCCU
rnacentral:lncRNA from 1 species